ACGAACGCUGGCGGCGUGCCUAAUACAUGCAAGUCGAACGAGCUCUCCUAAAUUGAUUUUAUGCUUGCAUAAAUGAUUUUUAGAUUCGGAGCGAGUGGCGAACUGGUGAGUAACACGUGGGUAACCUGCCCCGAAGCGGGGGAUAACAUUUGGAAACAAAUGCUAAUACCGCAUAAUUAGUUGGAACCGCAUGGUUCCAACUUGAAAGAUGGCUCUGCUAUCACUUUGGGAUGGACCCGCGCCGUAUUAGUUAGUUGGUGAGAUAAAAGCCCACCAAGACGAUGAUACGUAGCCGACCUGAGAGGGUAAUCGGCCACAUUGGGACUGAGACACGGCCCAGACUCCUACGGGAGGCAGCAGUAGGGAAUCUUCCACAAUGGACGAAAGUCUGAUGGAGCAACGCCGCGUGAGUGAUGAAGGUUUUCGGAUCGUAAAACUCUGUUGUUAAAGAAGAACAAGUGUUAGAGUAACUGUUAACACUUUGACGGUAUUUAACCAGAAAGCCACGGCUAACUACGUGCCAGCAGCCGCGGUAAUACGUAGGUGGCAAGCGUUGUCCGGAUUUAUUGGGCGUAAAGCGAGCGCAGGCGGUUUUGUAAGUCUGCUGUGAAAGCCCUCAGCUCAACUGAGGAAGUGCAGUGGAAACUACAAAACUUGAGUACAGAAGAGGAAAGUGGAACUCCAUGUGUAGCGGUGAAAUGCGUAGAUAUAUGGAAGAACACCAGUGGCGAAGGCGGCUUUCUGGUCUGUUACUGACGCUGAGGCUCGAAAGCAUGGGUAGCGAACAGGAUUAGAUACCCUGGUAGUCCAUGCCGUAAACGAUGAAUACUAGGUGUUGGAGGGUUCCGCCCUUCAGUGCCGCAGCUAACGCAUUAAGUAUUCCGCCUGGGGAGUACGACCGCAAGGUUGAAACUCAAAGGAAUUGACGGGGGCCCGCACAAGCGGUGGGGCAUGUGGUUUAAUUCGAUGCUACGCGAAGAACCUUACCAGCUCUUGACAUCUUCUGCCAACCCAAGAGAUUGGGCGUUCCCUUCGGGGACAGAAUGACAGGUGGUGCAUGGUUGUCGUCAGCUCGUGUCGUGAGAUGUUGGGUUAAGUCCCGCAACGAGCGCAACCCUUAUUAUUAGUUGCCAGCAUUUAGUUGGGCACUCUAGUGAGACUGCCGGUGAUAAACCGGAGGAAGGUGGGGACGACGUCAAAUCAUCAUGCCCCUUAUGAGCUGGGCUACACACGUGCUACAAUGGAUGGUACAACGAGUCGCGAAACCGCGAGGUCAAGCUAAUCUCUUAAAGCCAUUCUCAGUUCGGAUUGCAGGCUGCAACUCGCCUGCAUGAAGUUGGAAUCACUAGUAAUCGUGGAUCAGCAUGCCACGGUGAAUACGUUCCCGGGCCUUGUACACACCGCC
rnacentral:rRNA from 1 species